GUUACCUGUGAUUAAUUGACAUCUCUAAUAAUUUUGUAAUCAAAAUUUACUUUGAGUUGUGGUUUAAAUUGUCUACUGAAGUAUGAGUUUUAGUUUAUGAAGCUUGCUUUGAUAAGGCUGCUUAACAUUUGCUUUUUUAGUGAAUUUGUAGUGAGGAUUAAUUUGUAUGUAUGAGUAUAUUGAUAGCUAACAGCAUGCACUACAUGAACCUUACAGUGAGGACACAAUUUUCAAUAGUAAUCAACAUGGAAUAAAUAUCUAAUUUACAUUAUAGGGCAAUAUGAUAAGAAAAAGCAUUCAUAACAUGCUUUACUGUAAAUUAGUGGCAAACUGUCAAGAAUUUUCAGUACCCAAAUAACUUGUAAACAUAGGUGGAAUACCAAUGACAGUGUUUUGUGAACCACUAAUACAUACAUAUACCAUCAGAAGAGGUUCCAAUGUGAGCUUUAAACUAAUUUUUUUUUUUUUUUUACCAGAAAGAACAGGCCAAAACGACUGGCACAAAUGCCUACAGAUUUACAUAAAGAAAUAAAACCUGGAAGUUGUGCUUGCCAGCCCCAAAUCACACAUCUCAACUGUCCUUCAUUUAAUAAGGAUAGCUACGCUGGAGAAGAAGAACCCAACAUUUUGCAAUAAGCCGUGGUUGCCCGCACAGAUACCAUGGCAGCACGAGUAUGGAUCCAAAUCAUACCAUCGUGAUGGUGAUGUCUACCUCGUUGCGCCUAAUGGUGGAGAAUUUCAAGAGCAUUAGCAUAGCACUCCAGGAAGAGGAGGAGGAAUCAACUCUGUUUUGGGGUCCCAUGCUCAAGCUAUGCAGGCAUGCCCUUGCACUGAGCAAAAUGAAACCACAGCCAGAAUCUUAUUGACAGUGGAAGACAGUUCUGGCACUGAGAGACAAGCUCUGACUGGUGGGACUGCAUUGUGAUGCGGACAUGGGACAAUGAAUCAGCAAUCAGCAAUGGCUGCAAAACUUCCGAAUGCGCAAGGCCACUUUCUUUAAACUUUGUGAAUGGCUUUCCCCCUGCCCUGAAGGCCCAGAAUACCCGAAUGAGACCCGUUCUGAUUGUGGAAAACUGUGUGGCAAUUGCCCCAUGGAAGCUUGCAGUGCCAGAGAGCUACUGGUAAAUCGGGAAUCAGUUUGGAGUGGGGAAAUCUACAUUGGGGACUGUUAUUAGACAAGUAGCCAAGGUGAUUCAUACCAUUGUACUAUGGAGGGUUGUGACUCUGGGGGUGUGUCUAGACUACAUGUUUUUCUCAAAAAAAGUG